rnacentral:piRNA from 1 species
AUGAGGAUAUGAUCCUGGAAGAGGAUAUGAUC